rnacentral:rRNA from 1 species
UACAGAGGGGGCAAGCGUUAUUCGGAAUUAUUGGGCGUAAAGGGCGCGUAGGCGGUGGUGCAAGUGGAAGGUGAAAUCCCUCGGCUCAACCGGGGAACUGCGUGUGAUACUGGCGGGCUUGAAUUCGGGAGAGGGAUGUGGAAUUCCAGGUGUAGCGGUGAAAUGCGUAGAUAUCUGGAGGAACACCGGUGGCGAAGGCGGCAUCCUGGACCGAGAUUGACGCUGACGGCGCGAAAGCUAGGGGAGCAAACGGG